UGCCUAAUACAUGCAAGUCGAACGAAACUUCUUUAUCACCGAGUGCUUGCACUCACCGAUAAAGAGUUGAGUGGCGAACGGGUGAGUAACACGUGGGCAACCUGCCCAAAAGAGGGGGAUAACACUUGGAAACAGGUGCUAAUACCGCAUAACCAUAGUUACCGCAUGGUAACUAUGUAAAAGGUGGCUAUGCUACCGCUUUUGGAUGGGCCCGCGACGCAUUAGCUAGUUGGUGGGGUAAAGGCCUACCAAGGCAAUGAUGCGUAGCCGAACUGAGAGGUUGAUCGGCCUCUUUGGGACUGAGACACGGCCCAAACUCCUACGGGAGGCAGCAGUAGGGAAUCUUCCACAAUGGGCGAAAGCCUGAUGGAGCAACGCCGCGUGGGUGAAGAAGGUCUUCGGAUCGUAAAACCCUGUUGUUAGAGAAGAAAGUGCGUGAGAGUAACUGUUCACGUUUCGACGGUAUCUAACCAGAAAGCCACGGCUAACUACGUGCCAGCAGCCGCGGUAAUACGUAGGUGGCAAGCGUUAUCCGGAUUUAUUGGGCGUAA
rnacentral:rRNA from 1 species